rnacentral:tRNA from 1 species
GGGCCAGUAGCUCAGUGGUUAGAGCGCCGUUCUUAUAAAGCGGUGGUCGGUGGUUCAAUUCCACUCUGGCCCA